UUCAACUUGCAUACCUGAAACUCUUAAACCAUUAAACAAUAAGUGAAUGGAUAGCCCCAUGUCCCCCUCCCAGGACCUGGCAACCACCACUCAACUUUAUGUCUCUAUGAAUUUGACUACUCUAUACACAUCAUAGAAUCAGCCAAACUAUAGAGAAGAUUUAACUUGCAAUUCAAAUGACAAUUCUGGUGCUACAUAUAUAAGGUACUAAUAAAUACUAAGUGCAGCUAUGUUCUUGCCUGGAUUCUGCUACUCUUCAGCUUCAGGAAAGUCAUCUACAUCUUCUGUUCUUGAAGUUAAUGGCUUUAUGAAGAAGAUAUUUUCUGGUGCCCUGCAGUAUAGUGUCCACUGUUCCCCAGGACCUGGCCUUUCAGGGAGUGUCUCCAAUGUGUGCUGCUAGUGCUCUGCUGUUGGGUGUUGGCCACUUUAGCCUUCAGACCAGUCAACUGCAGAGGCUCUCUUUGCCUGUUUGGAGCAGUGUUUGGUUCCUGGCCUCAAAGGGAUAUGAGCAAAGAAGCAGGUUGUCUGAUUGGUGCUGUUAGCCAUCUUGUGAACAUAUGAAAGGCAUACCUGAGGAUGGAGCUGACAAAUGAAGAAGCCAGAAUCAAGAGGGCCACAGAGAAACGGGACCAUAUUACUGAUCAUACCAUGCCUGAAGUCUGCCCUACCUAUGAACUUCUCAAUUAAA